UACGGAGGGGGCUAGCGUUGUUCGGAAUUACUGGGCGUAAAGCGCACGUAGGCGGAUCAGAAAGUUGGGGGUGAAAUCCCGGGGCUCAACCUCGGAACUGCCUUCAAAACUAUUGGUCUUGAGUUCGAGAGAGGUGAGUGGAAUUCCGAGUGUAGAGGUGAAAUUCGUAGAUAUUCGGAGGAACACCAGUGGCGAAGGCGGCUCACUGGCUCGAUACUGACGCUGAGGUGCGAAAGCGUGGGGAUCAAACAGG
rnacentral:rRNA from 1 species